rnacentral:misc_RNA from 1 species
AACAAGGCGUACCUGCGGACCUGCGGAGGGAUCAUUACAAGUGACCCCGGUCUAACCACCGGGAUGUUCAUAACCCUUUGUUGUCCGACUCUGUUGCCUCCGGGGCGACCCUGCCUUCGGGCGGGGGCCCCGGGUGGACACUUCAAACUCUUGCGUAACUUUGCAGUCUGAGUAAACUUAAUUAAUAAAUUAAAACUUUUAACAAUGGAUCU